rnacentral:rRNA from 1 species
AGCGAACGCUGGCGGCAGGCUUAACACAUGCAAGUCGAACGCAUCCUUCGGGGUGAGUGGCAGACGGGUGAGAACGCGUGGGAACAUGCCCUUUGGUUCGGAAUAACUCAGGGAAACUUGAGCUAAUACCGGAUAAGCCCUUUUGGGGAAAGAUUUAUCGCCGAAGGAUUGGCCCGCGUCCGAUUAGCUAGUUGGUGAGGUAAUGGCUCACCAAGGCGACGAUCGGUAGCUGGUCUGAGAGGAUGAUCAGCCACACUGGGACUGAGACACGGCCCAGACUCCUACGGGAGGCAGCAGUGGGGAAUAUUGGACAAUGGGGGCAACCCUGAUCCAGCCAUGCCGCGUGAGUGAUGAAGGCCCUAGGGUUGUAAAGCUCUUUCGGCGGGGACGAUAAUGACGGUACCCGCAGAAGAAGCCCCGGCUAACUUCGUGCCAGCCGCCGCCGUAA